rnacentral:rRNA from 1 species
UACGGGGGGGGCAAGCGUUGUUCGGAAUUACUGGGCGUAAAGGGCUCGUAGGUGGCCAACUAAGUCAGACGUGAAAUCCCCAGGCUCAACUUGGGAACUGCGUCUGAUACUGGAUGGCUUGAAUUCGGGAGAGGGAUGCAGAAUUCCAGGUGUAGCGGUGAAAUGCGCAGAUAUCAGGAGGAACACCAACGGCGAAAGCACUCUGCUGGGCCGACACUGACACUGAGAGACGAAAGCUAGGGGAGCGAAUGGG